GGCACCCAGCUGCAUUGGGCCAAGAGCAUACAAACCCAGCUACAGAGCUGUCACCCUCCACUGCGGCAUCUCAGCCAGUUGAUUUCAAGGCAGUUCAGCAACUUUGCCCAAGUCAGUGUUGUCAGUGCCUUGCACCAGGCAGAGAACAGAUAAGCAGCUAAGCAAGUAUGCAUGUGCUGGCAUGGAAAUCAAGAAGGACUGUUAUUUCAUAAACAGCUCCACGAGACUCAGUGAGACCCAUGGCUUCAGGAGGGGUUACAGAAGCAGCAAUUGGCACAAUGAUAUUUACAAGUUUCUCUCACAAGCCAGACCAUGGAAAUGCUCCAUAGGUGGAAAGAGCAGACCUCUUCCAGCCCUCUCUGAUCCUGAGAGGGGUCAUCCAGAACUGCCUACAGUGAUCCAGGUGACAUGGUACUAUGGUUGUGUAGGUAGAGGUGGUGCUGUGGGAUGUUCUGUAUGGCAAAUGUGUUGCUCUGAUUGGUUAGUAAAUAAAACACUGAUUGGCCAGUAGUCAGGCAGGAGAAAGUAUAGGUGGGAC